CUUGGAUUUAAAAACAAAAACUUUUUUCACUGUUAUAGAUUGAAUAGCAGUCAGUGUCCUUAAAGCAGGUGUGUUCGUAACGGUGGAUGCGGCUGACAAGUGCCACUAAUUAGAUCUGGUGUCACAAUAGUUUGGAUUUAAAACAAAACUUUUUUACUGUUAUAGAUUGAAUAGCAGAUCAGUAUCCUUAAAAGCGGGUGUGUUAGGCCCCAACGGUGGAUGCAGCUGACAGAGUGCCAUAGUAGAUCUGUAGUGUCACAAUAGUUUUGGAUUUAAAAAAAAUAAUCUUUUUUCACUGUUAUAGAUUGAACAGCAGUCAGUGUCCUUAAAGCAGGUGUGUUACGCUAACAGUGGAUACGCUGACAAGUGCCACUAAUUAGAUCUGGUGUCACAAUAGUUUGGAUUUAAAAACAAAAAACUUUUUUUACUGUAUUAGAUUGAAUAGCAGUCAGUAUGCUUAAAGCGGG